rnacentral:rRNA from 1 species
GAAAAGCCCGCUCGCCGGAAGACCAAGGGUUCCUGUCCAACGUUAAUCGGGGCAGGGUGAGUCGACCCCUAAGGCGAGGCCGAAAGGCGUAGUCGAUGGGAAACAGGUUAAUAUUCCUGUACUUGGUGUUACUGCGAAGGGGGGACGGAGAAGGCUAUGUUGGCCGGGCGACGGUUGUCCCGGUUUAAGCGUGUAGGCUGGUUUUCCAGGCAAAUCCGGAAAAUCAAGGCUGAGGCGUGAUGACGAGGCACUACGGUGCUGAAGCAACAAAUGCCCUGCUUCCAGGAAAAGCCUCUAAGCAUCAGGUAACAUCAAAUCGUACCCCAAACCGACACAGGUGGUCAGGUAGAGAAUACCAAGGCGCUUGAGAGAACUCGGGUGAAGGAACUAGGCAAAAUGGUGCCGUAACUUCGGGAGAAGG